GCAGUCGAGCGCCUCCAAGCUAUGGUGAAGGCGCGGCAAACGGCUCAGUAACACGUGGCCAACCUACCCUUGAGACGGAGACAACCCCGGGAAACUGGGGCUAAUCCCCGAUAGGUGAGGAAUCCUGGAAUGGACCCUCGCCCAAAAGACGUUGAGUCCAUGCUAUUCAGCGUCGCCCAAGGAUGGAGCCGCGACCGAUCAGGUAGUUGGUGAGGCAACGGCUCACCAAGCCUAUAACCGGUACGGGCCGUGAGAGCGGGAGCCCGGAGAUGGGCACUGAGACAAGGGCCCAGGCCCUACGGGGCGCAGCAGUCGCGAAAACUCCACAAUGCGCGAAAGCGCGAUGGGGCUAUCCCGAGUGCCGUCCGCUGAGGAUGGCUUUUCCACAGUGUAAGGAGCUGUGGGAAUAAGGAGAGGGCAAGACUGGUGUCAGCCGCCGCGGUAAUACCAGCUCUCCGAGUGGUAGGGAUGUUUAUCGGGCCUAAAGCGUCCGUAGCCGGCUCAUCAAGUCCUCCGUUAAAUCCAGCGAU
rnacentral:rRNA from 1 species